rnacentral:lncRNA from 1 species
CGGCUCAGCCCUGAGCCUCAGCCAACGCUGCCCUAUUCCUGCAGAGCCCAGCGCUUUCUGGAACCUGGUGUUGCUGGCCACAUGCAUACAUUCUCCCCUUCCCCCAGAGAAAACUGGCAUUUUUUUGUAAGCGAGGACACCUGAGCCACCUCCACCCGACGCCCCAAACCGUCUGGGGGGGUGGGGACGGACGUAUGUCCCCACGCCGUGCUGGCUUCUUGGUGAAGGGGACCCCGAGCGUUCACCGGCCUCUGCUGCCGGCUCAGGAAGCCCUGGCCGGAUCUGGGGCUUAAAAGAGCCUGUUUCCAGGUCCCUGGUCUGGCAACCAGGGAGCUCCAGACCCGGGCACCUCGAAAACCCGGAGAGGCUGCGCCCGGGACAUCCAUUCUCGCCCUCCGUUUUCUGCGACUGGCUCAGCCACGAUUCAGCGGAGCUGGGGUUCAGCCAGCCUGGCCACGAGGGGUCCCAGCCCUCCAGAAAGCCGGAGGACGCAGCGCCAAAGCUGGAACGCCGAAGGGACAAGAGCGCUCAUUUCGUGGGCAGAGCCGGGGCUGAAGCACCAGGCUCGGCUGCAGCAGAUCCCGGUGUGUCUCAGCUCCGCCUCUGGCCCUGGCCCCUUUCCCCGGCCCCGGGUCGGGUCUUCCAUUCCACUGUUUGGCUCGGAGAGGUCGGAGAUGUGCUGGGUGCACUGGGGGCCGGAUGCAGCCAUAAAUCUCUAUGCGGGACCUCCUUCCCGCUGCUCACACGCUGGUGCUCCUGGCCGGCCUCCCAUCCGGACUUCACCGGGGGCCCUGCUCUCCCGGUCACAGCCUGGGGUCCCUGGGAUGGUGCAGGGAAUCAAGCCAGGAGCUUCCCCGUUCACCAAAGAGAGAAACGGACUCACCCAUUCAGUGCCAUCACCUUCCAUCCCUGCAGUCGGCGGACCCCAGGCAGCCCGGGCCUCACUGGAUCACAGCCUGGGGAAGGGCCACCGGCCGGGCACUAGCUCCUAAGAAGUGUGAUGAGGACCAUGCAGGGUGUCUAUGCGAGCAGUGCUGGGAGGCAGGGGUUCAUCCAGCUCCCCACCCCACACCAGCCCAUCCCUCCCUCUAUGCCAGGCAUACUCCGGACUUUUCGCCUCUCAGCCCCGAGUCAGCUCCCACAUCAGCCACCAGCUUUCGGCUUUGGCGCAAAUAGCCCUACCAUGGGGAGAGGGGUAAUCGGCGGGGCGCUAGUGGCCGCCGGGUAGGGGUGGUGGUCUUUCUACCUGAACAGUCACGGAGCAUCUGGGGGACAGACCCAGAGAAGGUGCAUUUGCAAUAAUAAUUCUUAAUGUCACCAGCCUCGUGCGUCUCUUUGCCAGAGGGGCGGGGAACAGGCCUCUACGCGGGCACCUCUCAGAAGCCGCACAGGCUGUGCGCGAUCGGGG